rnacentral:rRNA from 1 species
AGUCAAGUAAUUAAGUGCAUGUGGUGGAUGCCUUGGCAGUCAGAGGCGAUGAAAGACGUGAUAGCCUGCGAAAAGCUCCGGGGAGGCGGCAAAUAUCCUUUGAUCCGGAGAUGUCUGAAUGGGGGAACCCACCUACUUUAAGGUAGGUAUUGCAACAUGAAUACAUAGUGUUGCAAGGCGAACGAGGGGAAGUGAAACAUCUCAGUACCCUUAGGAAAAGAAAUCAAUUGAGAUUCCCUCAGUAGCGGCGAGCGAACGGGGAUCAGCCCAUUAAGUUAUGUGUGUUUU